rfam:Lentinula edodes NBRC 111202 DNA, contig: scaffold139.
CCGACCUUAGCUCAGUUGGAAGAGCACAAGACUGUAAAGGAUAUCUAAUGGCAUCUUGGGGUCGCCUGUUCGAACCAGGCAGGUCGGA